UACGUAGGGGGCAAGCGUUGUCCGGAUUUAUUGGGCGUAAAGAGCGUGUAGGCGGCCAAACAGGUCAGCUGUGAAAACUCGAGGCUCAACCUCGAGACGUCGGUUGAAACCGUUUGGCUAGAGUCCGGAAGAGGAGAGUGGAAUUCCCGGUGUAGCGGUGAAAUGCGUAGAUAUCGGAAGGAACACCUGUGGCGAAAGCGGCUCACUGGACCAUUACUGACGCUGAGGCACGAAAGCUAGGGGAGCAAACAGG
rnacentral:rRNA from 1 species